rnacentral:rRNA from 1 species
AGUCACUGACAUUAGAUACCCGUGUAGUCCAGGGUGUAAACGCUGCAGACUUGGUGUUGGAAAUCCUUCGAGGGUAUUCAGUGCCGGAGAGAAGUUGUUAAGUCCGCUACUUGGGGAGUACGUCCGCAAGGAUGAAACUUAAAGGAAUUGGCGGGGGAGCACCGCAACGGGAGGAGCGUGCGGUUUAAUUGGAUUCAACACCGUAAAACUCACCAGGGAAGACUGUUACAUGAAAGCCGAGAUGAAGACUCUGCUAGAUUUUCAG